rnacentral:misc_RNA from 1 species
UUCGCUUCUUCUUUGGUGGCGGCACUGAGGGUAGCGCCUCUUGAUUGCCAAAAGAAGAUACACUGGUGGCUUCUCCAGAAGCAAUAGAAAUUGUCAUUUGUGAAGAAUUCUCAACUUCCACCAUUCUGUUUCCUUCAACGCUAAAUCAACCUCAAGUUGACUACACCCUUCCAGUUCUCGAUUAAAAAGCUCAACUGCCAAGGGAAAUGGUGAACCCAACCAAACAAGCUACACCAACCUAUUCUGGAUGAAUGAAUCGUAAGUUACCCAAAAUAACAAUUAACUACAAUUGAUGUUUGGAUACAGAGAACUCUGAUUCUGUCUCCGCAAUUGGAUCAUUCCAGAGGAAAAAGAAAAGAACCUAUUUCCACAAAAUUCUACUCUCUGAACUCCCUCACAGUGAAGAGAAACAGAACACCGAUUCAACUAUGUCCGUGACCGGUGGUUCACGGUCCCAAAAAGCGGCUGCCUCAGUUCACACUCAUCUCUGUAGAGAGAGAGAGAGAGAU